AUGGGGAUGGGGAUGGCGCACGUCGUCGUCCUGGCGGCGGCGCUGGCCAUGGCGGCGACGGCGAGCUCUUCGCCGGAGGAGGAGGGGGUCCAGCCGCUGUCCAAGAUCGCCAUCCACAAGGCCACCAUUGAGCUGGACAGCUCCGCGUACGUGCGCGCGACGUCGCUGCUCUGCGAAGGCGAUCAGGAAGGCGACACUGCAUGGGUCACCAUGGAAUACAGCCACAGUAACCCCUCCGCUGAUGACUGGGUCGCCGUCUUCUCCCCCGCCGAUUUCAUACAGGGCUCAUGCCCUAACCCGAGGAGGUACCCCACCGAGCCGCUGCUCUGCACGGCGCCUAUCAAGUAUCAGUACGCCAACUUCUAG
rnacentral:rRNA from 1 species